rnacentral:lncRNA from 1 species
GGGUACUUGUAGUACUAGAUUUAUCAUAUUUGUUGAAAUACUAUGUCAUAGCAUUCCUUAGUUCUUUUUAAAUAACAUAGCUCUGAUACCAAUUGUAGGGGGGUGUGGAUAGUGCGGAUAACUUGGGUAAUUUGUAGGUAACUUGGGUAAUUUGUAGGUAAUUUGAAUGGUUGGUAAUAUUAAUUUACUGUUUUUCUCCGUUUUUGUAGU